GCGCAGGUUCCGAUUUCCCGAGAGAUGGCAAAGGCCCUGGCAGGAAGUUUACAGGGUUUAACGUAAACAAGUUCUGGGGGAUUCUUUAAUAAUAAUAAUAGAGAAUUCCGCGUGCGCAGGGCGGGAGGGGGGAGUUGGCCUAAUGCCCCUGUGGGCUCGGCCUGCCGCCGCCGCGGGGCCUCUGACACUGCGCGCCAGGCCAGGUUCCUGAGAGCAGACAGCGCGGGCUGGGAGCGCCGGCAAGGGCGGCCCUCGCGCACCUGGCUGCCAGCCCGCAGGGGGCUCGCACGCAGACCUGCCCUUGCCACCUCAGCGCUCGGGUGCGGGCUGGGGGCGGUGGAGCCACGAAAGGUGGUGCCGAGAGCGGAGCGCAGGACAGCGCAGGAGCCCCGGCGCAUCGCGGCGCGCACAGACCCAGAGGAUUUGUGAAGAGGUGACCCAAAUUUCAAGACAAUGUUGGAUGCAAACGGAUUUGCCAGCAACUGCAUCACUGUCAAAACCAGCUCUGCCCGUGUCUUCCGAAGAUACCAAGUGAAAUACAUGUAGAUGGGAUUUACAUCUGAAAAACCAAGGCAAGAGGCCAUGGGAAGGGACGGAGGUGGAACAGGACUGGACAGAAGCUGAUAAAUGGUUGUUGCUGAGUACUGGGCAGAUAGGGGUUGGUUAUCCUAUUGUCUUUACUUUCAUAUAUUUUAUUUUUUCUGUAAUAAAACAAAUUAAAAUCACCUGUCGUGACCUCACAGGGGCCAGUGUGGGUUGUGGCGUGAGGCAGGAAGCUCUGCAGAGUUCCUUGGUCAAAAGGAUUAAUUACAAAAGAACUCCAUGAACACCGAGAAGAAGAGAAGGGAAUCCUGGCAUUUAAAGCCACAAAGAAACUUGAUAUGGUCUUGUCUCCUUCUCUCAAUUGACAGUGAGAAACUGAAGACCAGAGAGGGUGAGUGGUUUACUCAGUUUGGCACAACUGACCCCAACCUAGCCCUCCAUGAGGACUGAGCGCAUGAGAGAUCCUGAGCCACAGCCGCCCAGCCCUGCUCCUCUCGAAUUUCUGACCUACAGGAACUGCAAGAAGUAAUGAAAGACUGCUGUUUAAAGCCACUGCAUUUUGGCAUGAUUUGUUAUGCAGUCGUAGAUAACCAGAAAACAUCGGAUUUACAUUUUAAGGAUUACUUCAUGCACAUAAAAGAAAACGCAACUACAGUGGACCCUGAACAACGUAGGAAACAGAGAAGCAAAGAAGUUAGCAAGCUUGUUUUGGCAGAAGAAAAAACACAAAAUACCCAACCACAGAUCCUCAAAAAUAUUGCUAAGCACUAAUUUUGCUAACAUGUUAGACAGCCUUCGGAUCUAGGCAAUCUUGUUCCUCAGCUGGAAAGAGUUCCUGCCAGCCAUGUGAUUCCAAAUCCACCCUGGACAUAUGGGGAUAAUGAGAAAAUCAGCUCCGGCCUUCCCUGGCCUUCCAGCCAAGUGAAUGGGGGCAUCCCCUGGUGCUUCAGCCCGGGGCCCACCCAGAGGAUGCUAGCUGGCCUGCAGAGGCCUCAACCAUGCCCUCCUGGACUCAGGUAAGACUGAGGUUUCCAUGCCCUCAAAACAAUUGUUCAGACAAAAACUCACUGCCCAGGUCAAAGUCACAGCACCAGAAAGCCAACCUGAGGAUGAAGACAAAGCUCUUUGUUGGCACAGUCCCCUGAUCAUUCGAGGUCAGCAUCUCCAUCAAAAUGGACCCAAUGCUGAGGCAAGAAGGAGAACAUCACUGUUAAGAAGGUAAUGAGUCACAAAUGCUAUUUCGAUGGUUUUCUUUGAAAGAAAUACACAGAACCAAACCAAUUUUAAUUAAAGAUCUUGUCUUUGUAAUCAGGCAGCCACAAAUGAAGGCAAAACUGCUUUCAUGUGGCAUAAUAUACACAGAGCUGAACUAGUUUUCCCAUAAAAGGGCAGGUUCUUUUCUUCAAAUAAGAAAAGAGUUUGUUCCUAACAAUAUGGGGGAUGCAACAGAAAGCUGUCUUUUGCAAAGUAUAAAAUUGCAGAUCCUCCCGUGGAAGCCAUUUCUUGAUGCUAAACCAAUGCGAACGUUUGCCAAACGCACAUGCGAGCCGGGAUUAUCCUACCCUUUGAGAUUAGACAUGUGAUCCUGAUUUUUAAGUGAAAAACGCAGCCAGAGGCCAAAUAAACAUACCUACAAGUACAUCGAAAGCUCAAAUGGUUGAGAAAUGAUUGUAACACACCCCGGUGUGUAUUUCUGAGGAAGAAUCAACAUGCACAUGGAAAUUGAUGUUUUGAUUUUUAAUUUUAAAACGACGACAGAACUGAAAUACCUCCCCUAACUAGGUCCACUGAAACCAGUGAGGAGAUAAUCAUUUUCAGUUAAAUAUGCAUGUAAUUUAAUAAUCCACAGAUGGAAAAUGCAUUUGAGGUGGACUGAACACAGCCAGGAGUUUUUGCUUAUCGACAGCACUGAAUCCUGCCUUGACUAGAGAGACUCGUCAUGUGAUCAACUGUGGCCAGAGGGCAUCCUGCAGACAGCUCCUGUCACACCACACUGACCAGACUCUUAUGAGUAUUUAAGCAUCUUCAGGGAAGCGAUUGACUGUCUUAUAAUGGUCUUACAAGUACGGAACUUUAUUACCUGCUAAUAAUCAGAGCACAUGAUGGCACAAUAGAAUAUACGAGUGAAGUUCUAAAUGCAAGGUUGUUCUUAUUCUGUGAGUGGCAAAACUCAUGCAGUGAGCAGAUAAAGCUGGCAGGAGGCAUUGGCGCCCUAAUGCUGGGCACUAACCACCUGCCCGGACUGCGAAUAUCUGUUGGGUCCUUUCUAUAUCUGGUCUAUUCUCGUGUUUGAUUAUAUCCUGGUGGCAAGAAUAGCAAAAUCAACUCUCCUUCCUAUCCCAUGUGGAGAGGCAUGAUUUGAGUCAGAGAGCAUUAUCCUCUCUGCGUUAUCCAACCCCAUGUCCCAUGAUGCACUUUGUAGACAAGCAAGUGUCCCUGGUGGAGAAUCCACAGCCACACAUCCUCAUUGGUUGCAAGGAUCAGUGUCCAAUAUCUACUGCCAUGAUCAUUCUCAGUUUUACAUCCACAGAGCUUCAUAGAAUUCUAACACCACAGGUCCAAGUAGAGGUUUUGGCCUCAGAGUGGGCUAGAUUCCACCUCUGACAGCAGCUGUGGGACUGUUUUUCCAUCUGUAAAAUGGAGACAAGAGUAUCACCUACCUCAUGGUGUUGGUGGGAUCGUUAAACAGAAUUCCGAUCAUGAAACCCUUAGCCUGCUCCCUGCAUAGGCUGCAUGCGCUCAGUGAGCUAUGGCUCUGUUUCAUGCUGACUUUACCAUCAUGUAAGCAGUUUUAAAAAUGCUAGAAGCUUUAGUCAUAGAAUUACCAUAUGAUACAGCCUACUGCAGAGUCCAGAGGCUGAGGCAGGAGAGUUACUUGAACCUGGGAGGCGGAGGUUGCAGUGAGCCAAGAUCGCGCCACUGCACUCCAGCCUGGGCAACAGAGUGAGAUUCUGUCUCAACACAAAAAAGAAGACAUGUGUCCCCAUCACAGUAUCAUACAGAGUGCUUCCACUGCCCUAAAAUACCCUGUGCUCUUCCUAUUCAUCCCUCUCUUCAACCCCAGCAACCACUGAUCCUUUUACCAUCUCCAUGGUUUUGCCUUUCCCAGAAUGUCAUAUUGUUGGAAUCAUACGCUAUGUAGCCUUUGCAAAUGGGCUUCUUUCACCGAGCAAUGUGCAUUGAAGGUGCCUCUAUGACUUUUCAAGGGUUGAUAGCUCAUUCCUUUUUAUUGCUAAAUAAUAUUCCAUUGUCUGAAUGUACCACAUUUUGUUUAUCCAUUCACCUACUAAAGGACAUCUUGGUUGCUUCCAAGUUUGGGCAAUUAUAAAUAAAACUGCUAUAAACAUUGUGUGCAGGUUUUUUUUUCUAGAUGUCAGUUUUUAACUCAUUUGGACUAUAGAGCACUAUUGCUGGAUCAUAUGAUACGUGUGUGUUUAGUUUUAUGAGAAACUGCCAAACUGUCUUCCAAAGUGGCUGCACCAUUUUGCAUUCCCACCGUCAAUGAAUGAGAGCUCCGGUUGUUCCACAUCCUCACCAGCAUUUGGUGUUGUCAUUGUUUUGGAUUUUAGCCAUUUCAUAGGUGUGUAGAGGUAGCUCAUUGUUUUAAUCUAAUAAACAUCUUAUUGAAGAAUAACACACAAGCAGAAAAUUUCAGAGAUACAAACGAACAGCUUUUUCAACCAUCACCCACUGGAUACAGUUCUGUAUCCAGCACCCAGGCCAAGAAACUGACACUAACGGUGCCCUGUGCCC
rnacentral:lncRNA from 1 species